rfam:Plasmodium fragile strain nilgiri unplaced genomic scaffold supercont1.32, whole genome shotgun sequence.
CAAAUGAUGAGAAUACCUUGUUGAAAGAUGUUGAUUUCACAAUCAAAUGAUUGUACAACCCUCUAAGAAGUUCUGACACGUUUU